GUUAUCCUCAUCUUUUAUAAAUAAGAUAAGAUUUUAUGAGGAAGAUAAGAUUCAGAGAGGUUAACCAGAGUCACAUAACUUAGAGAUGGCUGAACCAGGACUUGAAUCCAGGUCUUUUGACUCCAACUUCUAUGCUGUUGUCUAAUUGAAUAUGCUCUAGAUGGCUUAUAAGGUUUUCUCUGAGAUUCCAUGAUUCUCUAGUUCAGGGAACAGAUGAAACAUGAGUAAACAAAAUCCACUAAUUAUCCCAGGCCUCAUUUUAGUCAAUAGUUUAAACUUUUUUCAUCAAACAUUUUGCCAGAGCAGAAAACAAUUUUCUAGUUUGAAUUUCAACUCUGUGCUUUCCUUCAGGAGGCCUAAUGAGCAGUGAAAUGGAAGUCAGGAUGGAAGAUUGAAAAGGUGAAGCAACUGGAUCCCACAAUUCACGUUCUUUAUAAUCAGCUCAGAUUCUUGGAAGCUCUCCCAAUCGGUUGUUCUCCAAAUUCACCCCAUCGGCUUAACACCAGGCAGGCUUUUCUGACUCCCCAACACCUAAAAUGGCCUCGCAGACCCUGCGGACAUUAAGUUUCUGCUGGUGCUCAAAUAGUAAGAGGACUUUGUCCACUCUCAGUUUUGGAGCAAGUCAACAGGGGAGGUGCCUCCCCCUGCGAACCAUUCAGGCUUGGUGUACUGAUGGAUGGGUAUGCAUUUCUUAG
rnacentral:lncRNA from 1 species